GACGAACGCUGGCGGCGUGCCUAAUACAUGCAAGUCGAACGCUUCUUUCCUCCCGAGUGCCUGCACUCAAUUGGAAAGAGGAGUGGCGGACGGGUGAGUAACACGUGGGUAACCUACCCAUCAGAGGGGGAUAACACUUGGAAACAGGUGCUAAUACCGCAUAACAGUUUAUGCCGCAUGGCAUAAGAGUGAAAGGCGCUUUCGGGUGUCGCUGAUGGAUGGACCCGCGGUGCAUUAGCUAGUUGGUGAGGUAACGGCUCACCAAGGCCACGAUGCAUAGCCGACCUGAGAGGGUGAUCGGCCACACUGGGACUGAGACACGGCCCAGACUCCUACGGGAGGCAGCAGUAGGGAAUCUUCGGCAAUGGACGAAAGUCUGACCGAGCAACGCCGCGUGAGUGAAGAAGGUUUUCGGAUCGUAAAACUCUGUUGUUAGAGAAGAACAAGGACGUUAGUAACUGAACGUCCCCCG
rnacentral:rRNA from 1 species